rnacentral:lncRNA from 1 species
AGGGGAAGCAGAAGAUUGGUGUUCUAUAUUCUGGUUUGCUUAUUAGUAUUUUGUUGUUUGGAAUUUUGGAUUAGGAGGUUUUCUUUGUUUGAUGUUUGUGAAUUAUAUGUAACGUGACUCAUUUUCUGAGGUUCACAGUUUGCUUAUGUUGUAAGUUGUGUUUGAAUUAUCAAUAUAAUAGAAACACUACAUCAGUGUUCUAUCAGGAUGUCAUCCUUGGAAUGCAAUGGCUGCACACGUUGGGG